ensembl:snoRNA
AACUUUAUUAUUAUGAUUAUAUUUUGCAUGUAGAUAUCCAGUUGUCCCAGAGCCAUCUGCUGAAAAAAAAACAAUUCUUUCCCUCACUGUUUUGGAACCC